UUUGUUGUAUUUCGGUUCUAAUUAUAUUUUUUAAUUCUAAACUUUCAGGUUUAUUAAAAUAAACUUUAGAUUUUAGAUAAUCCCAUAGAUAGAAAUCCAAUGGCAUUAAAUCUGGCGACCUUGCUGGCCAUUCAAUAAAACCUCCCUUCCAAUCCAUCUAUUUGGAAAAAUGUUGGUAAGGUAAUCUCGUACUGUUCGCGAAUAGUGUAGGGGAGCGUCAUCCUGUUGGAACCAUAUCGAAUCUGCCGGUAUAAAUGGGUUUUCACCAUUUGGAGGUAGAUGCGCCCUCAAUGAAAAACCCACAAUUGACGUGCCCACAAUUCCUGCCCAUACGUUUAACUUCUUGGGAAAUUGUGUUGCCAUCCAGUAUGGAUUUUCUGGUGCCCAAUACCAAAAAUUUUGCCUAUCUACAGAACCGUUUAAAAAAAAACUUGCCUCGUCGGAAAAAACAAUCUUACUUAAGAAUUGUGGGUUUGCAUUACGUUUAUUCAUCAUUAUUUCGCAAAACUCUAUUCUGCGGAUGUGAUCAUUUUCAAUAAGCUCCUGAAUUAAAUGAAUUUUAUAUGGA